rnacentral:rRNA from 1 species
CAGUAGCCGCGGUAAUACGGAGGGGGCUAGCGUUGUUCGGAAUUACUGGGCGUAAAGCGUACGUAGGCGGCUUUGUAAGUUAGAGGUGAAAGCCCGGGGCUCAACCCCGGAAUUGCCUUUAAGACUGCAUCGCUUGAAUCGCGGAGAGGUGAGUGGAAUUCCGAGUGUAGAGGUGAAAUUCGUAGAUAUUCGGAAGAACACCAGUGGCGAAGGCGGCUCACUGGACGCGUAUUGACGCUGAGGUACGAAAGCGUGGGAGCAAACAGGAUUAGAUACCCCUGUAGUCCCUGUCUCUUAUACA